UGGGGAAUAUUGGACAAUGGGCGAAAGCCUGAUCCAGCCAUGCCGCGUAUGUGAAGAAGGUCUUCGGAUUGUAAAGCACUUUAAGUUGGGAGGAAGGGCAGUUACCUAAUACGUAUCUGUUUUGACGUUACCGACAGAAUAAGCACCGGCUAACUCUGUGCCAGCAGCCGCGGUAAUACAGAGGGUGCAAGCGUUAAUCGGAAUUACUGGGCGUAAAGCGCGCGUAGGUGGUUUGUUAAGUUGGAUGUGAAAUCCCCGGGCUCAACCUGGGAACUGCAUUCAAAACUGACAAGCUAGAGUAUGGUAGAGGGUGGUGGAAUUUCCUGUGUAGCGGUGAAAUGCGUAGAUAUGGGAAGGAACACCAGUGGCGAAGGCGACCACCUGGACUGAUACUGACACUGAGGUGCGAAAGCGUGGGGAGCAAACAGGAUUAGAUACCCCCGUAGUCCCUGAGCGGGCUGGCAAGGCGCAU
rnacentral:rRNA from 1 species